AGCCUGUUUCAGAUGACGAUAUGGUGUUCUAUAUCCUUGGUGGCCUGAGCUCAGAAUAUGCGGCCUUUGUCACUUCAAUUUCUACUCGUGAUAAUCCGGUUUCGGUUGUUGAUUUACAUAGAUUGCUACGUAAUAAAGAGA
rnacentral:snoRNA from 1 species